rnacentral:misc_RNA from 1 species
AUGGACGGGGAAUGUCUCUCUGUCACUGUGGUAGACAGAGUAACAAAGCUCGACACUCUUGGUGGUUAUGUUUUCUUGGUGUUUCUGGUGUGUCUUAUCAUUGGAUUUAUCCUCGGUCUUUUGUUAGCACGGUGCAUUCUAAGGGAAUUGGAGGAGCAAUACUCCCAAAGGAGAAGUAAAUCACAAACUGAAGCAAUUCUUAUUGAAGUAGAGAAUGAAGUAAAAAUACAAGAGACAUCUGGAAAGAAAAUGGGCAGUAACAGGAUAGCUCCAAUGCCUGUGCCAACCAAAAACACAGCUGAUAUAGCCAUAGAGAUGGAACCCACCCACCUUAGCACUGGCAGUCUUCAUAGUCAAUCAGCUUGGACAGGAGAACAAGACAGCAACAACUCAACAGUUGUUUAUGCCUUGAGCAAAUCUUCAGGAGAAGAAAUGGAACUUGAAAUUCAAAAACAAGAUUUCAAGUCAAUUGAGGAAAUGGAAACUAAUAUCCGUCUACAGAAGAGUGAGACAUUCCUACAGUUGUUGAAGAUGAUUUUGAGUUUCUUGGUGAGCAAAUCCAGAAUAAGCGAAGGGUUUCGAAGAGAUUCUCUGGCCAAGUAUGAGCAGGCAAUUGAAGACAUAGACAGGAAUGCUAAGGAGGAGAUGAAAGCUGAAGAACAGGAGCUUAGAACAACCAUUGUGGAUCCCAUGAAGCUUGAUCAAGCAAUAGAGGGUCUUCAUUCCAAGUACUCUAAGAGAAUGACUACAGAGAGAAUGGAACUACAGGAGAAACUGAGAACAGAUCUGAUGCAGGGCACUGAAUUGUCAGAACAAGAGGCAGAGCAGAUUGUUGCCAAACUCAUGAUGAACAUGGCAGCUGUUGACAAAAGGUUGGCUGAGGAAGCCAGUAGGCAGAAUAAGGUUUUACACGAAAGACUUGCACGAAGACAAGCACUUGCUCAACAAAGAGUUGCAGAUAAUCAACAGGAAAAAGAGGAAUUUGACGACCGAAUAAAACAGCCGCAGAAGAAUUUAGACGUUUUGUGCAAAAGGGGAAAGCUCUCAACUGACCAGAAGGACAGGAUCAUGGAUGAAUAUGAACAAGAUCUCAGAGUUUUAGAAGAGAAACAUCAGCAAGCUAUCCUGAAAAGCCAAAAUGAUUUAAACGAGAAGCUCAGAAGAAAGCGGGAGCAAAGAAGGAGAAAACUAGAAAUGGAACAAGCUGCAGAAAAAGAGGAUUUUGAAAGGAAGGCCAACCAGAUGAUUGCUGACGGUAAUAUGACGGCUGAAGACUUCCUGGAGGAAAACCACAAACUUAGAGUGCAGCAGCAAGUUGCGCGUGAAGAAGAGGAGGACAGAGCUGAUGAGUUCGAAGUGGAAGAACUGAACGUCCUCCGAGAGAAACUGGAGGAAAAGCGACAGCGCAGUUUGAAAGAAAAAGAGGAAACGUUGUUUGAACAGAUUAGAAACGAGGCGCAUCUGUCUUCAAAGGAAGCUGAGAAAUUGGUGAACAAGCACCUGGAAGAAGUCAACGAAGCAAACGAAAGGAAAAACCGUGAGCGUGAGAGGCAACGAGCUGUGAUUCAAGAGAAACUGGAAGAAAGGAAAAAGAGAUGGGAGAGGGAUUUAGAACGACAGAAAGCUGAACAGAACCAGUUGGUUGCAGAGCAAGAGAAAGCCAUAAAACAAGUGUUAAACACCCAAGCAGGACUCGCGGAAGAAUUACGUAAACAAGUAAUGCUAGAACACGAGCAGAACAUGAUAGCGCUGAAUGAUCAUUUACAGAUGACGAGACUGAGACAACAGAAAAGAUUGGAACAGCGCCUGGCAACACGACGAGCCAGGUUAGCUGAAAUGAGGCAACAGAUGGAGGUGGAGCGAAAAGAACACGGUGUCAACGAUCCAGAAGCCAUGAGGAAUCUUGCAAGAGUUCAGAACAUUGAAUAUCAAGCUGAGGUGAAGAAAAUCGAGGCUGAACAUCAGACGGCUUUAGAAGAAUUGAGAAGACGUUUAGCGGCCGAGACAGAGGAAGCUUUAAGAGAGCAAGACGAGAGACUUGGUAAAAUCCUGGGCAAACUGCAGGUUGCAGUAGCUAGGCGGGAAGAGAUCAUUAAAAAGCAAGACGAAGCUAUCCGUUCCCUGGAGAAAAAGCUGGUAGAGAACAUGACGAGAGAAGGCACGUUAGCUGAUGCACAGACUGAUAAGAUUUUGAAACAACAUCAGAAACAAGUGGACAAGUUGAAUACACAGAUAGAUAUGGAGAAGGAAAAACAGAUGCAAAAGAUUCGAGAGAAAAUUGCGGCAAAGCAACAAAAGAAAGCGAGAGCUUUAGAAGCGAAACUUUAUCAAGAGAAAGAAGACCAAAAGAGUAAAGCUGCUCAAUCUGCGGGAACCAAGAUAAUCACACUUUUAGCAGAGCAGCGCCACAGGAGAGAAAUGGAGGACCUAGAGCGUGAAAUGCAGUUGGACCUUGCGCGUCAAUUGGAAGAGAUCAAUAAAGAAAUGGACGAACAACUCUUGGCGGACUUGCAGGAAGAAGAGAGGAAGUUUAUUGCGACUUUAGCAGAGAAUAGUGCAGCAACUGAAGAAGAAUUGCUUGAAACAAUCAAGAACUCUGCGUCAGAAGUUGGAAUGGACUCUAAGCUGACGAAGAGUAUCGCGAAAGACGUUCGUAAACGAGUGAGAAGCGCCCGAACUCCUGCUCCAGAUGUAUGACCAGUCACUUGGCCACGUGACCUAAUUUGUUACUGCAACUGGGUUUACUGAUCUCUUUUGAGUUGAAUAUGACAUCACUUGAUUUUGCAUGUUGUGUGUCAAACUUAAGAAUGCAAUUCUCGAAAAAGUAUAACCAAGCAAACGCAACGACCAAUCAGAACACAAAUUUACAACAUUAGUAGCCAGUAAGAAAUUAAAGCAAACGCAGGUAGACGCGAAAGAAACUGAAUAUUUAAAGCAUGCAUUAUUAGAUGCAAAUAUUUAUUAAGUUUUCCGAUUUGAGGAAAACAUUGUUAUUACCAUAGGACCAACUUGUUUUGAAAGAGUUUGUUACCAUUAAACGAAUGAGAUCAGUUAGAUCCUCUA